GUGAAGUGACUCAUUGCUACAUUGAAGUUGGGCAUGGAAAUAAUUUGAACUCUGCCAUCCAGCAAGAUUUGCUAGCACGUUUGACGAUAGAUUUUGUGGUUUGAUUUGGAGUUCUGUCGAGAAAGAAUCUUAGUUCGACUAAUUCCUGUAUUUAGAGCAACGUGUACCGAAUAAUAGUAAUCGCAGAACCGCCAUACGUUUUCUCGCUGCCUUGACUUCAUGCACGACUUGGCUCGAAAGAAUCAUGGCUGCCCUUGGUCAGAGUUUUUCUGAACUCAAUCGUAAACUGCACAACAAUUGAGAGAUAGUGUAUGGUGCAAUGUAGUGGCUGAUACAUGGACUUCACGUAUAGACGCUUCAUCAUCCAUCACAUGAAAUGUGAAUUUUCCAAGGCCUACCAUCAGUUGAACACUGAUAAUCACGACUUCUGACAGCUACAAUGAACGAUCCUUGACGGACGUCCAUCAGUUUGCCUUCGAGUUUGUUCCUUGAGAAAGUGCCAGCAUGCGAUACGGUGAUAAAAAGAAUCAAAUUCUGCAUAUACGACGAUGAUGUAUCGGCGUUCAUGAUCGUCCCUAGAUUGCCAAGGAUGGCAGCACUGCUGAUUUUAUCUGAACUGACGGCUCGAAAUUGAAUCCAAUCUUCAUCGUCUUGCUGACAUCGAAUGUA